rnacentral:rRNA from 1 species
GUGGACAACCUACCCUUGGGACCAGUAUAAUCCUGGGAAACUGGGCAUAAUGCUGGAUAGGUCACAAUUGCUGGAAUGCAUUGUGGCUCAAAGCUCCGGCGCCCAAGGAUGGGUCUGCGGCCUAUCAGGGUAGUAGUGGGUGUAAUGUACCUACUAGCCUACGACGGGUACGGGUUGUGAGAGCAAGAGCCCGGAGAUGGAUUCUGAGACACGAAUCCAGGCCCUACGGGGUGCAGCAGGCGCGAAAACUUUACAAUGCGGGAAACCGUGAUAAGGGGAUCUCGAGUGCCAGCAUAUAAUGUUGGCUGUCCAGAUGCUUAAAAAGCAUUUGUUAGCAAGGGCCGGGCAAGACCGGUGCCAGCCGCCGCGGUAACACCGGCGGCCCGAGUGGUAACCGUUAUUAUUGGGUCUAAAGGGUCUGUAGCCGGCCAAGUAAGUCCUUUGGGAAAUCUGGUAGCUUAACUAUCAGGCUGCCAGGGGAUACUGCUUGGCUUGGGACCGGGAGAGGUGAGAGGUACCUCGGGGGUAGGGGUGAAAUCUUGUGAUCCUCGAGGGACCACCAGUGGCGAAGGCGUCUCACCAGAACGGGUCCGACGGUAAGGGACGAAAGCUAGGGGCACGAACCGGAUUAGAUACCCGGGUAGUCCUAGCCGUAAACGAUGCUCGCUAGGUGUCAGUCACGGUGCGACCGUGAUUGGUGCCGUAGGGAAGCCGUGAAGCGAGCCACCU